UACGUAGGGCGCAAGCGUUGUCCGGAAUUAUUGGGCGUAAAGAGCUCGUAGGCGGUUUGUCGCGUCUGUCGUGAAAGCCCACGGCUUAACCGUGGGUCUGCGGUGGAUACGGGCAGGCUAGAGUUCGGUAGGGGAGAUCGGAAUUCCUGGUGUAGCGGUGAAAUGCGCAGAUAUCAGGAGGAACACCGGUGGCGAAGGCGGAUCUCUGGGCCGAUACUGACGCUGAGGAGCGAAAGCGUGGGGAGCGAACAGG
rnacentral:rRNA from 1 species